GUCAGGCCCUCCCUCUGAUCCUCUUUGUAGGAAAAUGUUUUUCCACAUUGCAGACAGGGCUGGUGUCACUGGGCCCUGCCUGGUCACACACCUUUAUCAGGGUAUGAAGGGUGGUCCACCCAACUAACCCAAAUGGAUUGCUAUUGGAAGAGCAGCACUUCCACAGGAAAACCAGGGCAUCAUCACUAGAGUUUCAGAGCAAAGACAGAAGAGCCCACAAAGGUCUGCACAGCCAGAAGCAUUUCCUGAUCCCCCAUCAAGAAUGAGCCAGACUCGGUGAUUCCACAAUAUUCAGAAGCCACAAUACAGUGUGACAAUGGGGACUCUGGGCUAGCCUUGAGAAGAGCAAGAAAGGCAGACUGCCACAUGCAGCCCCUCAUUUGAAUGUGUCUGGAGUCUCGGAAGCUUGACUACCGUACAUUUUCCUACAAAUGGGCCUUGAGAGCUUGUUUGGAGGUUCUAGCAGCACAACUACUCCUAUACACUUAAAAAAAGAACCAGAGGAGGAAGUUGUCAUCGUCAAUGGAGUAUGCAGCUUAAGGAGACAUGGACAUGGAGUGGUGAGGGAGGAAGAGGACAUCCACCUAGCCAGCCAGAUCAGCCAAAUCAACCCUGGCAAUCAAUGCAGUGACAGAUUUCGCAGCCAGAUCAUCCUCAUAUCUGCCCAAUCGAUUUCUGAGACACGCUGGCAAAUGGCAAAAGCAUGGCAAGACCCUCCCCCAGAUGAUCAGUGUGGGUCCCAUCUCAUGGAUCUCUAAAAUUUGGAGUUUUGAAACCUAGCACCUACCUGAGAUAAAACACAGGACUACUCUGCUGCCUGGCAGGUGGACAGCUCAGACAGGGAGAAGUCAGGGAUCUAGUGGAAAGUGGAGAUGCAAGAAAGUUUCUAAACACUUCAGACUGAUCAGGAAUGUGCUGUUACAGGCAGCACUGUCAUUCCAGGAUGUUACUGCAGAGUUCACUCGGGAAGAAUGGAAGCACCUGGGCCCUGUACAGACAUGUAAUCCUAGAGAACUAAAGCCACUUCAUCACAGUACGUGAGCAGACCUGGCCAUGUCACUGCCUCAGGAAUGCAAUCCUGUUUGUUCAUGAUUGCUACAUUUAUCAUGUGUCAUAUCCUGUUCUAUUUCUACUAGCUCAAUUUUCUCCUGGUUAAAGAUCAUAUGUGCCUUCUUCUUAGCAUACUUUGUAAUUUUUUUAUUGGAUGCUAGUUGUUGUGGAUUUUACAUUGUUGGGUACUAUAUUUCUGGUGUUUUAAAAUAUUUUAGAGCUUUCUCUGGAAUAAAAUUAAGCUAUUUGAAAUUA